rnacentral:rRNA from 1 species
AGUCGAACGGCAGCACGGAGCUUGCUCUGGUGGCGAGUGGCGAACGGGUGAGUAAUAUAUCGGAACGUACCCUAGAGUGGGGGAUAACGUAGCGAAAGUUACGCUAAUACCGCAUACGAUCUAAGGAUGAAAGUGGGGGAUCGCAAGACCUCAUGCUCGUGGAGCGGCCGAUAUCUGAUUAGCUAGUUGGUAGGGUAAAAGCCUACCAAGGCAUCGAUCAGUAGCUGGUCUGAGAGGACGACCAGCCACACUGGAACUGAGACACGGUCCAGACUCCUACGGGAGGCAGCAGUGGGGAAUUUUGGACAAUGGGCGAAAGCCUGAUCCAGCAAUGCCGCGUGAGUGAAGAAGGCCUUCGGGUUGUAAAGCUCUUUUGUCAGGGAAGAAACGGUGAAAGCUAAUAUCCUUUGCUAAUGACGGUACCUGAAGAAUAAGCACCGGCUAACUACGUGCCAGCAGCCGCGGUAAUACGUAGGGUGCAAGCGUUAAUCGGAAUUACUGGGCGUAAAGCGUGCGCAGGCGGUUUUGUAAGUCUGAUGUGAAAUCCCCGGGCUCAACCUGGGAAUUGCAUUGGAGACUGCAAGGCUAGAAUCUGGCAGAGGGGGGUAGAAUUCCACGUGUAGCAGUGAAAUGCGUAGAUAUGUGGAGGAACACCGAUGGCGAAGGCAGCCCCCUGGGUCAAGAUUGACGCUCAUGCACGAAAGCGUGGGGAGCAAACAGGAUUAGAUACCCUGGUAGUCCACGCCCUAAACGAUGUCUACUAGUUGUCGGGUCUUAAUUGACUUGGUAACGCAGCUAACGCGUGAAGUAGACCGCCUGGGGAGUACGGUCGCAAGAUUAAA